rnacentral:lncRNA from 1 species
ACAGACACACUCAGAGGCUUGCUGUAUAGAUCUCCUAGGUGCCUCUUAAUCCAGUCAAGGUGACCAGAGAGAUGACCUAUCGCAGAGAGCUAGCAUGUGUCAGAAUCCCAAGGUGUGGAGGCAUCUGCUUUGUUGUAAGAAGCCGCUUGAUAGGAUGGAGAGGAUCUUGAACCAUGGCCAGUGGGGUUGCAAUGACUGUGGGGUCAACUGAAGACAACAAGAAUGACAGAAAAACAUGGCUUAAGGAUGGAUGUUUCCAGGUAACGGAGAAGAGGAUGAGAGCUGGGGCCAGGGACUAAGUUUUGGAGUCCACAAAGGCUCCAUCCUGUCCAGGAGGAAGGAGCAUUCUGGCUACUGUGGUAGUUUUUCAGGAUGAUGAGUGGCUUAGAGUUUGGAACUGUCCUCCUGUGAGGCAGACAGCGGGCCUGGCUUUGAGGCUCCUUCUCCUGAGGACAGACAGACAUGACUCAUCACUCAGGAUGUUGUGCCAUCCUUAAAUGAACAUGGGAUUUGUGACCAGAUCGUCUUCCCCUGUGGACACGUGUGACAUUUAGGGACAGAGCAGAGAGGUGGCAGAGUGGAGGAGCAAGCAUGUCCAGUGGGAGCCUGGUGACAGAAUUUGUCAGCUACAAGUCGAAGGCGUCUUGAGAACUCAUGACCGUGUCUGUGUCCUAAGGCUGGGGACACU